AUUGAACGCUGGCGGCAGGCCUAACACAUGCAAGUCGAGCGGAUGAAGGGAGCUUGCUCCUGGAUUCAGCGGCGGACGGGUGAGUAAUGCCUAGGAAUCUGCCUGGUAGUGGGGGAUAACGUCCGGAAACGGGCGCUAAUACCGCAUACGUCCUGAGGGAGAAAGUGGGGGAUCUUCGGACCUCACGCUGUCAGAUGAGCCUAGGUCGGAUUAGCUAGUUGGUGGGGUAAAGGCCUACCAAGGCGACGAUCCGUAACUGGUCUGAGAGGAUGAUCAGUCACACUGGAACUGAGACACGGUCCAGACUCCUACGGGAGGCAGCAGUGGGGAAUAUUGGACAAUGGGCGAAAGCCUGAUCCAGCCAUGCCGCGUGUGUGAAGAAGGUCUUCGGAUUGUAAAGCACUUUAGGUUGGGAGGAAGGGCAGUAAGUUAAUACCUUGCUGUUUUGACGUUACCAACAGAAUAAGCACCGGCUAACUUCGUG
rnacentral:rRNA from 1 species